rnacentral:rRNA from 1 species
CCUACGGGAGGCAGCAGUGGGGAAUAUUGGGCAAUGGAGGCAACUCUGACCCAGCAAUGCCGCGUGAGUGAUGAAGGUAAUUUUAUUGUAAAGCUCUUUUCUUUGGAACGAAUAAAUGACGGUACCUGAAUAAGAAGCCCCGGCUAACUACGUGCCAGCAGCCGCGGUAAUACGUAGGGGGCAAGCGUUAUCCGGAAUUACUGGGUGUAAAGGGUGAGUAGGCGGCAUGGUAAGCCAGAUGUGAAAGCCUUGGGCUUAACCCGAGGAUUGCAUUUGGAACUAUCAAGCUAGAGUACAGGAGAGGAAAGCGGAAUUCCUAGUGUAGCGGUGAAAUGCGUAGAUAUUAGGAAGAACACCAGUGGCGAAGGCGGCUUUCUGGACUGAAACUGACGCUGAGGCACGAAAGCGUGGGGAGCGAACAGGAUUAGAUACCCCGGUAGUC